CUGGAACCAACACACCUUAUAACUUCCUUUUGUGCAUAAAUUUCACUUUUGGUGAUUUUUUUUUCUUUUUUCUUUUUUUUUUUUUAGAGACAAGGUUUCACUAUGUUGCCCAGGCUGGCUCUGAAUUCUUUGGCUCAAGUGAUCCUCUCACCUCAGCCUCCAGAGUAGCCGGGACUACAGGCACGAGCCAAUGAGCCCAGCUAUGGUAGGUGGAGACAAGGAAAAUGUCCAGGAAGAAGUGACAUUUAAACGGUGGGGAAGGAUGAGUAAAACAUAUAAUAUGAACUGAAGCAGAAGACAGUUUUAGACCAAAGGAAUGUCCUGUGGAAGGCCUGGACAUACUCAAGGAACUGAAGAAGUUGAAGUUGAGGGAGUGGUGAGAAAUGUGGGCAAAUAUUGUGAGAUACUCUUGGAAGAGUAAGCAACAUGAAGAAUCUGGAUUCUAAUAUAUGGGAGGUGAGUAGCCACUGAAAGGUUUAAACAAAUAAGUGAUAUAAUCAGAUUCAUGUUUUAGAAGAAUAACUGAUUAUAAUAUGAAGGAUAUACUAGAAAAGGCAACAAUUGAAGGCUAAAAAUUAGAUCUUUACAUAAAUAGAGAUGUAAUUUAUCAUUUUUAAUAUUUGCAUGGAUGCACCAUAUAGGUUCCAUGAGGCCAAGGACUGUCUGUCCUUUUCAAUUAUCAAUUCUAGAGUCCAACACAGUAUCUGGCAUAUUUGUUAAUUUAAAGAUAAUUAUUAACACUUGUUAACAACAGAAUCGGUUACCUUUUACUAAGCUCUGACAAUAUGCCAGGGACUGUGUUAAGGGUAUCUUGCAUUUAACUCUCCCAACUGUUCUAUGAGGUAGAGGUUUUAUCAUCAUCUUAUUUUACUAAAGAGGAAACACUAAAGCUCAGAGACUUUUUGUUACUAAGCUAGUUAGUGAGGGAGUGUGAUUUCCCAGGUUUGUUGACUCCAGAGCCACUUAACUAAUCUACAGCUGACUAAUAAUUUAACCAUUUUACGAUCAAUGUCCAUUUAGGUUAUUUCUAACUUUUUGCUAUUGUUAGUAUUAUGAUGAAUCUCUUCAAACAUGUCUGAUCACUCUUGACUGAUUAUCUCAUUAGCAAAAAAUCUUAGAUGUUGUAGUGAUGAGCUUCACAACAGGCACAUUAUAAAUAAUGCUAGAUGCAUUUGACAAAAUUGCUCUCCAGAAAGCCUGUUUCAUGUCAUACAAUUAAAAGCAACAUAUGAGAAUGCCUGUUUGCUCACCAUUACUGAGUGUUAUUGAUUUUUGCCAACUAAAUGGCCCCCCCACGAAAUCUGACUUUAGUUUUAAUUUGUAUUUAUAUAUCAUGAUUAGUAAAGUUGACCAUCUUUCCAUGUUUACAAGUCAUUUUAAUUUCUU
rnacentral:lncRNA from 10 species